rnacentral:sRNA from 1 species
GGGCCGAAGGGAGAUGUAAGGGCUUGGUUGGAAAUAAAUGGCACUGUGUUGUUGACGGAAAAAGAUCUUGGCAGGACUGUUGUUGUGAGUGUUCUGUGGCUUAGAAAGGAAUUUCCUACAGGCUGGACUAACCAUUAAAAAUGUCUCUACCUUCAGGAGUCCCCGGCGUGCGGUGGAGCCUCGCUGGGGGAAAUGUCAGCUUGGACCAUGGGCGCCCGCGGUCUGGACAAGCGAGGAAGUUUCUUUAAGCUCAUUGACACAAUUGCCUCGGAGAUCGGAGAACUGAAACAGGAGAUGGUGCGGACAGAUGUCAGCCUGGAAAAUGGCCUGGAACCCGCUGAAACCCACAGAACCCGGAAACCUAAAAUUGUCUGUGCCAUAUCCACCUACUCCCAGUGAUGGAAACAGUAACGCAGCGAGAUCCAGCGUGUGCAAAGUAGAAUUCAGUGUAGCCGUGUGAGU